GAUGAACGCUGGCGGCGUGCCUAAUACAUGCAAGUCGAGCGAACAGACGAGGAGCUUGCUCCUUCGACGUUAGCGGCGGACGGGUGAGUAACACGUAGGUAACCUACCUAUAAGACUGGGAUAACUUCGGGAAAACGGAGCUAAUACCGGAUAAUAUUUCGAACCGCAUGGUUCGAUAGUGAAAGAUGGCUUUGCUAUCACUUAUAGAUGGACCUGCGCCGUAUUAGCUAGUUGGUAAGGUAACGGCUUACCAAGGCAACGAUACGUAGCCGACCUGAGAGGGUGAUCGGCCACACUGGAACUGAGACACGGUCCAGACUCCUACGGGAGGCAGCAGUAGGGAAUCUUCCGCAAUGGGCGAAAGCCUGACGGAGCAACGCCGCGUGAGUGAUGAAGGUCUUCGGAUCGUAAAACUCUGUUAUUAGGGAAGAACAAACGUGUAAGUAACUGUGCACGUCUUGACGGUACCUAAUCAGAAAGCCACGGCUAACUACGUG
rnacentral:rRNA from 1 species